GCUUACGGCCAUACCACCCUGAACACCCCCGAUCGAAGCUAAGCAGGGUCGGGCCUUGUGAGUACUUGGAUGGGAGACCGCCUGGGAAUACCAGGUGCUGUAAGCU
rnacentral:rRNA from 1 species